CGGCGAGUGAAGCGACAAAAGCUCAAAUUUGAAAUCUGGCACCUUCGGUGUCCGAGUUGUAAUUUGAAGAAGGUAACUUUGGAGUUGGCUCUUGUCUAUGUUCCUUGGAACAGGACGUCACAGAGGGUGAGAAUCCCGUGCGAUGAGAUGUCCAACUCUAUGUAAAGUGCUUUCGAAGAGUCGAGUUGUUUGGGAAUGCAGCUCUAAGUGGGUGGUAAAUUCCAUCUAAAGCUAAAUAUUGGCGAGAGACCGAUAGCGAACAAGUACAGUGAUGGAAAGAUGAAAAGAACUUUGAAAAGAGAGUGAAAAAGUACGUGAAAUUGUUGAAAGGGAAGGGUUUGAGAUCAGACUUGGUAUUUUGUAUGUCUUGCUUUCGGGUGGGGCCUCUGCAGUUUACUGGGCCAGCAUCGGUUUGGACGGUAGGAUAAUGACAUUGGAAUGUGGCACUACUUCGGUGGUGUGUUAUAGACUUUGUUGAUACUGCCUGUCUAGACCGAGGACUGCGUCUUUGACUAGGAUGCUGGCAUAAUGAUCCUAAACCGCCC
rnacentral:rRNA from 2 species